rnacentral:rRNA from 1 species
AACUCUUAGCGGUGGAUCACUUGGCUCGUGGAUCGAUGAAGAACGCAGCUAGCUGCGAUAAAUAGUGCGAAUUGCAGACGCAUUGAGCACAAAAAUUUCGAACGCACAUUGCACCAUCGGGUUGAUUCCCGAUAGUACGUCUGGUUGAGGGU